AACGAACGCUGGCGGCAGGCCUAACACAUGCAAGUCGAACGCCCUGGCAACAGGGAGUGGCAGACGGGUGAGUAACGCGUGGGAACGUGCCCUUCGGUUCGGAAUAACUCAGGGAAACUUGAGCUAAUACCGGAUACGUGCGAGAGCAGAAAGAUUUAUCGCCGAAGGAUCGGCCCGCGUCCGAUUAGCUAGUUGGUGGGGUAACGGCUCACCAAGGCGACGAUCGGUAGCUGGUCUGAGAGGAUGAUCAGCCACACUGGGACUGAGACACGGCCCAGACUCCUACGGGAGGCAGCAGUGGGGAAUAUUGGACAAUGGGCGCAAGCCUGAUCUAACCAUGCCGCGUGAGUGAUGAAGGCCCUAGGGUUGUAAAGCUCUUUCGCCAGGGACGAUAAUGACGGUACCUGGAUAAGAAGCCCCGGCUAACUUCGUGCCAGCCGCCGCCGUAA
rnacentral:rRNA from 1 species